GCUGGUGUAGCUCAGCCGGUAGAGCAGCGGUUUCGUAAACCGCAGGUCGUGGGUUCAAGUCCCACCGCCAGCU
rnacentral:tRNA from 1 species